UUAAAGGAGCUAACACUUGGAAGAUACUCAGAAUGGUCCUGAUACAUAGAAAGCCCUCCAUAGAUGUUAUCCCUGAACAUUGUUGUCACUGGGAGACUGUUUUGCAAGGAGAACACAGCAAGAAGACCGCCAUCUAUGAAUCAAGACAUGGGCCCUCAACAGACACUGAAUCCACUGGCACCUUGAUCUUGGACUUCCCAGCCUCCAGAACCAUGAAAAAUAAAUUUCUGUUGUUU
rnacentral:lncRNA from 1 species